AGGGCUGUAGCUCAGCGGAAGAGUGCUUGCUUUGCAUGCAGAACUCUGCAUGUUCAAUCCCUGGCUCCUGCCUGA